rnacentral:miRNA from 1 species
GGCUGAGUGGGGUUCUGACUCC